rnacentral:rRNA from 1 species
CACGUAGGGGGCGAGCGUUGUCCGGAUUUAUUGGGCGUAAAGGGCUCGUAGGCGGCUCAGUAAGUCGGGUGUGAAACCUCCAGGCUCAACCUGGAGACGCCACUCGAUACUGCUGUGGCUAGAGUCCGGUAGGGGAGCAUGGAAUUCCUGGUGUAGCGGUGAAAUGCGCAGAUAUCAGGAGGAACACCAGUGGCGAAGGCGGUGCUCUGGGCCGGAACUGACGCUGAGUGAGCGAAAGCGUGGGGAGCAAACAGG